rnacentral:rRNA from 1 species
GGCGAACGGGUGAGUAACACGUGGGUAACCUGCCCAUCAGAAGGGGAUAACACUUGGAAACAGGUGCUAAUACCGUAUAACAAUCAAAACCGCAUGGUUUUGAUUUGAAAGGCGCUUUCGGGUGUCGCUGAUGGAUGGACCCGCGGUGCAUUAGCUAGUUGGUGAGGUAACGGCUCACCAAGGCCACGAUGCAUAGCCGACCUGAGAGGGUGAUCGGCCACAUUGGGACUGAGACACGGCCCAAACUCCUACGGGAGGCAGCAGUAGGGAAUCUUCGGCAAUGGACGAAAGUCUGACCGAGCAACGCCGCGUGAGUGAAGAAGGUUUUCGGAUCGUAAAACUCUGUUGUUAGAGAAGAACAAGGAUGAGAGUAACUGUUCAUCCCUUGACGGUAUCUAACCAGAAAGCCACGGCUAACUACGUGCCAGCAGCCGCGGUAAUACGUAGGUGGCAAGCGUUGUCCGGAUUUAUUGGGCGUAAAGCGAGCGCAGGCGGUUUCUUAAGUCUGAUGUGAAAGCCCCCGGCUCAACCGGGGAGGGUCAUUGGAAACUGGGAGACUUGAGUGCAGAAGAGGAGAGUGGAAUUCCAUGUGUAGCGGUGAAAUGCGUAGAUAUAUGGAGGAACACCAGUGGCGAAGGCGGCUCUCUGGUCUGUAACUGACGCUGAGGCUCGAAAGCGUGGGGAGCAAACAGGAUUAGAUACCCUGGUAGUCCACGCCGUAAACGAUGAGUGCUAAGUGUUGGAGGGUUUCCGCCCUUCAGUGCUGCAGCUAACGCAUUAAGCACUCCGCCUGGGGAGUACGACCGCAAGGUUGAAACUCAAAGGAAUUGACGGGGGCCCGCACAAGCGGUGGAGCAUGUGGUUUAAUUCGAAGCAACGCGAAGAACCUUACCAGGUCUUGACAUCCUUUGACCACUCUAG